rnacentral:rRNA from 1 species
UACGUAGGGUGCAAGCGUUGUCCGGAAUUAUUGGGCGUAAAGAGCUCGUAGGCGGUCUGUCACGUCGGCUGUGAAAUCCCGAGGCUCAACCUCGGGUCUGCAGUCGAUACGGGCAAACUAGAGUAUUGCAGGGGAGACUGGAAUUCCUGGUGUAGCGGUGAAAUGCGCAGAUAUCAGGAGGAACACCGGUGGCGAAGGCGGGUCUCUGGGCAAUAACUGACGCUGAUGCACGAAAGCUAGGGGAGCAAACAGG